rnacentral:rRNA from 2 species
UGGGGAAUAUUGCACAAUGGGCGCAAGCCUGAUGCAGCCAUGCCGCGUGUAUGAAGAAGGCCUUCGGGUUGUAAAGUACUUUCAGCGGGGAGGAAGGGAGUAAAGUUAAUACCUUUGCUCAUUGACGUUACCCGCAGAAGAAGCACCGGCUAACUCCGUGCCAGCAGCCGCGGUAAUACGGAGGGUGCAAGCGUUAAUCGGAAUUACUGGGCGUAAAGCGCACGCAGGCGGUUUGUUAAGUCAGAUGUGAAAUCCCCGGGCUCAACCUGGGAACUGCAUCUGAUACUGGCAAGCUUGAGUCUCGUAGAGGGGGGUAGAAUUCCAGGUGUAGCGGUGAAAUGCGUAGAGAUCUGGAGGAAUACCGGUGGCGAAGGCGGCCCCCUGGACGAAGACUGACGCUAAGGUGCGAAAGCGUGGGGAGCAAACAGG